AUGUUAUGCAGCACCUCCUGUCCUCCUCCUUGCCCUCCACUCUCGGUGGGCAGUCCCUGGGUCAAGGUUGGGGGUGCUUCCUUGGUCUCCGGAACAGCCAGGCCUGUGGGGCGGGACCUGGAGCCCGGAGUCAGGGGCGGGGGGAACUGGGUGACCCGGCGGGGAGCCUGGGGAUGGAAGCCGCCGACACUGAGCCGGCCGGUCGCCUGGGAGGACCCUGAAGGCCACGACCCGCGGCGGUGUCCGCUGGAGCCUGGGGCGCGCAGCUGCCUGGUGUCCGUGUCCCGCCCUCCCGGCGCCUCCAGUCUGGGGGUCUGGGUCCCUGCAGAGGCUGCUGCCGCUCGGAUCCGCCCGGAUGCCCCAUCACGCCGGCUCUCGCCCCCAGCUGUCCCGAAGGUAGAGGGCCCCACGGUGCAGCCCACGGCCCUAGGAGGGCCCAUCGUCCGUGGCUCCACAUGGCCGUGGUCUACUCACCCGGGAGAGCGCGCCCGCACACUGAUCUGCAGAGAGAGUGGGCCUGAGGCGCCCCCCUGGCGCCCUCUUCCUUGGGACGGAGGCCCCCGACCUGCCCCAACGGGAUCUCCUCCUGGGAACACUGCCCUGUCUCACCCUCCCCCGACCGGGACAGGCUGGGUCUGCCCCCAGCACUUCUGUCCCGAAUCUGAAAUCAGUGGAAUGACUAGGGCCUGGCCCUCCCAGCAGGGGUGUGACCCGGACCCUGGCCCUCCCAGCAGGCCUGCGGGCACCGCUCACCCAACUUCCGCAGCAGGACGCCCUGGCUGGGGCUCAGGCCCACUUGGGGCGCCAGUAGCUGCAUCUUCUGGGCGCCUUCCGGAAACAGCUCCGGGGCUGGAGCUGAAGGUGGGGAGGGCGGGUGAGCUAAGGGGAAGGGGUUGGAGGGGCGAAGAGAGGGCGAGAGGGGCAGGGAGGGGUGAGAGGGGCGGGGAGAGGCCGGGACCCGCGGUCACAGACACCGGGAGCCAGCGGUUCCGCCUUCCCCGCCUUCCCCGUGCAGAAGGCACUGGUGCAGGCACAGGGGGGACAUUCCAGACCCCAGGCUGGAGGGUGUCUGGGCCUCCGCCCCGCAGCCCGCCCACCGUAGAGCUGUAG
rnacentral:lncRNA from 1 species